UACGGGGGGGGCAAGCGUUGUUCGGAAUUACUGGGCGUAAAGGGCUCGUAGGCGGCCAACUAAGUCAGACGUGAAAUCCCUCAGCUUAACCGGGGAACUGCGUCUGAUACUGGAUGGCUUGAGUCCGGGAGAGGGAUGCGGAAUUCCAGGUGUAGCGGUGAAAUGCGUAGAUAUCUGGAGGAACACCGGUGGCGAAGGCGGCAUCCUGGACCGACACUGACGCUGAGGAGCGAAAGCCAGGGGAGCAAACGGG
rnacentral:rRNA from 1 species